CCCGUAAGAGGGAUCUGUCGUGUUUGCCUGAUCAGUCCCUCUUUCCACCUUUCUCUACAGGGACAGCCGUCUCACCUCCUUCCCUUAGAGAUCUGUUCCUCCCCCUCAAGGCCCUGGGGUUGAUUCCAGUGGGGCUGCCAACCACAGAUUCCUGACCCCCGGCCACAAGAGGAUGAUGCAACCUAAGCCUGAGCCAUCAUACAGCCCCACCCCCAGCCUGGAGCCUGAAUGAGGGGACUGAUCAAAGCUGGGCCAAUCAGCUGGGACUUCUACACAGGAAAGCAGGGGAGGGGAGAGAAGCCUUCUCAUUGCCUGGGCACAGCUGAGCUGAAUAAUAUAAGCCAGGAGCUUCUGGUGGCCAUGCCUCCUGUGCCUGUCCUCGCAAGGAUGAAGUCAUCCCCAGUAAGAGAAAAUGAGGCCUGAGCACAGAGAAAAGUCAAGACGAGUGAUGGAGGUAACAGGAUGUGCAAUGGGACUGUUCCUGUUGUCCGGGAAUUCCAGCUAAAGGUCAGAGGCGAGGACAAAGAGGCUCUAAGCCAAGAAGCACACCACCUGCUGAAGCGAGCUGCCCACCAUGGCACACACUGCCUACCCGGGCUCACUAAAAGGUGACCUGCUGUCCCCAUCGCUCCUUCCUAAUCUGUACGAGAUGACUUGGGAAGGAGAAAAAGGGGAGACGGAGGCAGAAUCAUCUGUCCUGCGGGGAGGGCAGUGUUUGUGGUGAGAGGUGACCUUCCCCUAAGCCAAAUACUGGGACACUCUGGGGGUUCUGCCCAGAGAGGGGGCCCUGAGGGAAGGGGAGACUCGCCUUCUGUUCCCUGGUUGGCUAUUAUUUUCUAAUGUGCCCUUGGACUUACCGAAGGAAGGUGGAGGAGAAUGGGCACUGUUUCAGGAUGGGAAUGAGGCAAAGGGAGAGCUCCCUGCACUCCUACUGUUGCCCUGACAAGAAGGGAAGAAUUUCCAUUCGGGCUAAGUGGACAUCGUGGACGGUAGCUGGGCUUGGGCCCACAGGUCCUCCAGAGGACUCACCAGCAUUUGAAUGUCUGCCUCAGAGGGGGAGUCAGUCACUGUGAGCCCGAAACACAGUAACAGCGGGCCUAGAAAGGACGGCAGCUGUGGCCAGAGGAUCAAAGAUAUUAAGAUGUCACAUUUACUGUUGCUGCCAUGACUGAAGCCGAAAAGCAGCACAGAACCGUGCGGAGGGUGGGCCCUGACUUGGACCUGCCUCUAAGGAAGGGGUGAGCCUGGACUGCUGAGUGGGGGUGUAGGAGCUGCCUCUGUGUCUGCACCUUUAGCAGCCCUCUAGCCCAUCUCUGACUUCAGCCACGGCUGUGGUAGGCAGUUUCACUCUGCUUUUGCUGCUGGUGUUCCACCUGCAGACUCAUGCCACUUGUCUUUCUCCAUUCCACACUCAGACCUUCUCCCAAUGCCCGGAAGCUUUCUGGGCUGGCUUGCAAGCCCAGCUCAGAAGUGCAGAGGAGUUAAUACCCUAUAGGCAACCCUCAACCAACACAGAACGGUGGCUGAUGGACAAAUGCUCCAGCCUCCAGUCCAACAGGUGGACACUUUCGGGAGAUAUUCUGCACACUUCUCAGAGGUCCUGGUGGAAUUGAACUCCCACCGCUGACAGUAGUGACCUCAACAAUGCAUCCAUAGAUGAACUCUCCCCUUCUCUGUCUCACUCCCCCUGUCCCUUCACUCCUGCUUCCUGGGAUCACCUGUACCAAGUCUUGUCUCAGGCUCUGCUUUGGGGGACACUACAGUCUGGGAAAUGUUUGAUGUGGACACAAGCAGGACUAAUGGUGGAACUUCUAAGUUAGCCUCCCUCCUGCAUGUGGGAUGCCUUGAAGAAAGCUGCAGCGUAGAUGAAAAGGAAACGCUAUACCGUCUAACAGCUGGGACACCGGAGACCACGCGGUUCUGCUGCAGGCCCCAUAACCACCGAGGACACUAUGAGAAGCAGCACCCUUCCUCGAGCUCUGAGAAAGCACCCCUGCUUGGACCGACUGAGACCUGUGUCAGCGACAGCUGGGGCGGUGUGGGUGACAGGACUACCAGAACAGGGUGAUCCUGUCAGAGCCCCUCUCUUCAGGACUGCCAUGCCUUCAGCACAGCUCUCAGCAGCUCCAGCUCUCCACUAACAGCCAAUGGAGCGCCGACCAACACCUGGCAAGUGAAUCUGGCUGCGGGGACAUCCCUAAGGUCCCCUCCCCCAGCAGGUGUCCACAGAGCAACGCUGAGUAGGACUGAUUCCUGGGCAAAUGUAAGCAACCCUGGAAUAUUUGAAGGUAGAAUUAUUGAAAAAUAUUUGACCAAGACAAGGAUUGGACUUUGUGCUAAUUUGACACCUAGCAGAUCAGAGCUGUAAUUGAGGCUUAAAAAGAAACGUGAACCCAUUUUAUCAUCACAAGUUGGUAAAGUCAGGAAUGUAUUUUACAACCACUUUAUCAACAUUUACUCCAACAUUUCCCAAAACUCAUUCAUUUGCCUAGUAUCUAACAACUUACUAUCUGUACUAUUCGUUACUUAAUAUUUUUCUUUAAACCAAAACACUUUUUCAAACUUAAAUAUCCAAGUAAGCUUCAUACUGAAUGAAAAUAAAUGUGGAAUUAUGGAUCUGGUGCUACUUAUAUUUUUCUAACACAUAUGAAAACAAGCACAUAACUAUUAGAAAAAUCACCUCAAUUUAUAUGUGGUAUGCAUAUUUCACAUUGGGAAACAUCGAUUAGCCAUGACUAUAAGUUUUCCUGACUUUGUUUCUCAUUAGAUUGCUAAGGUAUUACAAUGCUUUUUGCUUUCUGAGAUCUUAAUUCUCCGUGAAUUUUCCUUUGGUCAUAAUUGUUCCGCAAAGGUUGUUUCUCAGAAAGAGUACUUUCGAUACUUGACAUUCCUGAAAGUAUCUCUCUUUUGUUCUCAGUUUGCCUACUGCAAAAUUUUAAUAUCAUAAUUCUCAAUCUACAGGAUUAUUUACAUAUUGCCCCAUUGUCUUCUAAUUUUUAACAUUGCAAAUGAGAACUCCAACGCCAGUUUGAAUCUCUUUCUGUAGGAAAGUUUAUAGGAUUUUUACAUUAUCCUUGAAAUUCAGAAAUUUUACCAGCUAUGUCCUUGGGUGGAAUUUUUGCAGCAAUUCUGCCCAGGACUCAGUGAACCACUUCAAUCCAUAGAUAAAACAUUUUUCAGCUCAGGAAAUUUUCUUUCGUUAUUUUGUUAAUUGACACUUCACUUCUACCCAUCGUUCUUACUUAUUCUAAGACUCCUGUUAUAUGAAUAUUGGAACAUUAUAUCCAUCUCUCUCUCUCUCUCUCUUUUUUUUUUUUUGAAGAUUAGCCCUGAGCUAACAUCUGCUGCCAAUCCUCCUCUUUUUUGCCGAGGAAGACUGGCCCUGAGCUGAUAUCCGUGCCCAUCUUCCUCUACCUCAUAUGUGGGAACCCCGCUACAGCCUGGCCUGUCAGGUGGUGCUUAGGUCCACACCGGGGAUGUGAACAGAUGAACCCCAGGCCUCUGAAGCAGAACGUGCAAACUUAACUGCUAUAUCACCCGGCUGGCCCCACCUCUCUCUUAUUUUUUAUCUCAUGAAUUUAUCUUUUUGUCUUUGUUCUGAGAAGAUUGUAUUAAUUCUUGUGAGUUUAUCUGAUAAUGCACUCAGUCAGUUUUCCAUAGUAUAUAUGCAUUUCUGUUUUAUUUUGGGGCACAUACAAUCAUGUAUUUUAUUUUCAAGGACUGUUUCUUGUUCUCCAUUUCAUGCUUUUCUUCUCCUCUAACAAUUCACUGAGAUACAAAUGCUGAUGAGGAUUUUAGGCUGGGUAAUUUUAAAAAACUGCAGAUGAGAAGCAGGCUCUGAGGACUGGAAUUUGCUUGCUCUUUGAGAGAUAUUUGCAUUUAUGAGGGAAGGGGGGAUGACCUUGUAGGGACCUGAAAUUGGCCACCCCAGGAUGUGUCUCUUUGGCAUCGGGAUUGUUUUGGGCUGAUCGCUUUCGAUAAACUGGGACAGGGAAGGAGGCUCUGGGGAAUGGAACUUGCCCUUCUUGGGACACAUUUAUGUUUGUAAGGUAAAUCUCUAUCUGUAAAAGGUGCCUCCCUCUCUGUACCAGGAAGAAGAAGGGAGAUGACCUUGUCCCUAGAAACUCUUAAUGGGGAAGGCAAGAACUUAAGUUGGUUGCUGUCUGGCAAUCUCAUGUAACUGAUUUAGGGUGGUGGCUUCUAACCUUUCUAACCUUUACUUAAUCCGAUUUGAUUCUUGUCUAAAAGUCAUGGAUCACCCAAUGACCAGACCCCACCUGCACUGAUACCAUUGUAACUUUUGUUCAUGUUCUUUCCUUUGUCUUGUAAAGAGAUGACUCACAUGCCCAUGCCUUAUAAAAUUAGCCCUAACCCUCAACUCGGGGCAGCAGCAGCGGCUCUGCCUGCCCAUGGGCCCUGUCCCCAUGCUAUUCCACACUAUUCUCUAAAUACAAGAGCACUACUGCCAGAUCUUGAGAGUCCAAGAAAUCUUUCUUUCGACUCCUCGGCUCACCGACCCCGCAUCAAUGCGAACUUUUUAAAAGUUAGCUCCUGCUGUCUGUAAUAUUUCUUUUUAAUUGGCUCUGAUUGGUCUGCUGGUUCUCGUUUUGAGGCUGCUUAAUCUCUUCAGAUGACUAACUGGUGCUUGUUGUUAUUCACUGAUAUUUAUAAAUACGACAGCCUAUAUUGAAAGGGAUUGAGAGCUCUUCUGAGCGCUGGCAGCAGAUGCACAGGUCACUAGGAGCUCUCCUCGCUGCUCCCAGCCCAUCUUUGCCUCCAGCCCCUGCUGGCAGUCACGUGGGCAUCAGCAUCAGGACAGAUGCACAGGCAGGCCCUGCUUUUGCUGUGGUUGUCAGAUAUCCAGUCAUACUGGGUUCACAUCUUCCAGAAAGUUCUUGAGGUUUCUGUCUAGUUGAUGUUCUUCCUUUUAACAGUAGUGUUUCAGGGCUUUUUUCCCCCUUAUUUUUAUUGUUUUCAUUAUUUCAGUAAGAUUUGGGAAGUUAUUGUAAGCUCAGAUUGUUAACUUGAAAUGAAGCCUGCGUGACUUCCCAUUAGAUUGAGUCAGAUAUGUGGGUUCUGCAGCACCAGCCCAUAGACCUCCAACUUCCCAUUGCUAGAGUCUACACCUCUUGGCCUGAGAGCUUUUCCUGGCAGCCUGAGCCCACUCUGCCUGGGCAUGGCGGGUCAGAAGUACCGGAAUUUAAUGCACUCCUGCCUUUCAGCGACUGGUGGGAGUUGGUGUAUAAAUAUCAUGGCUUCCCAGGCUCCUGGAUGGGAAACUCUGAGGUGCUCACUCCGCACCGGCUCCCAGAGUUCCCGAGAGGAGAGUGUGAUCUGCUCACCGACAUCAGUGGUGGCCAGAUGCCCCCUUUAAAGCCUGCCCUCCCUUCUCUGUCUCACUUCCCCACCUCACUACCCCUCCUGGUUUGUCCUGGGAUCACGUCCCACAUAAACUACUUACAAAUGAAUCCUCAUCUAAGGGGAACCCAAAUCAAAACAUCAACAGAGUGUGGCAGGCUUUUUAGAAAGUUCUUCCUUCUGGUGUGGAGAGGGAACUGGAAGGGAGAAGCUGGAGGCCAGGGGAUCAGCACGGAGGUGUGAGCAGCAGGCCCACAGAAGGUCAGAGAGGAGCCAGCUCCCCUUCGUCUCAAAGGAAGACCAGCACAUGCAGCCAAGCAAGAGCGUGCUGAGAUAUUUUUUAAGUAUUUUGACAUUUACAAGAGUAGAAGUGACCAUGAUGGAAAUAUCCAGACUUUGCUGAACUUCCUAGCACUUCCUUUAUUUAUUUUAUUAUUUGUUUUUAUUGUUGCUGUUGUUACUAUUACCAAGGAAGCGCUCAAUCAAUAUUUGUUGAAUGAAUGAAUAAAUAAACGACUCCUAGGCUUCUGGUUGGCUGGUGGUACCAUUCACUGAGAGAAGGACCAGAGGAAAAGGAGCGAGUCCGGAAGGAGAGGUAGGGUGGGCAGUCUCCUCUAGGAACAUACCAGAUAACAGGGCACUUCAGAGCCUGCUUGGAACUCAGGGUGCAGGGCAGGCUUAGGCAGGGGGACAAUCAGACUAUAUCACAGUCAUUGUGGCAUGUGCUCCUGUCAAUCAGAAGGAAUCCAGCCCCAGUGCCAGAGCUGAAUCCUGGAGCCCCUAUGGAGCCAGAUGAUAACAUCUUAGCUGUUGGAUUACAAGGAGGAUGAGCAGAGGGGCAGGGCAGCCAGGGUCUUGGGACAGUGGAUAUUCACCAACAAUAGGUUCAGCUGCACCAGUGUGUACAGACUGAGCCAGAGCCCCGGCUUGGAGACAGGCAGAGAAACCAGGCAGACUGGAAGACACCAUCCGGCAAGGCUGGAGAAAGGACCCCCAGCUCCUCCCAAGAGACGACUGUGCAGGCCAAGGAUAGUGAGCACUUUCUGGAUGCUUACUCAGGGUCAGAACCCCAUUCCUAAGGCUUCCAACAAAUCAGCUCAGUGGAGAACAGUUUCCAUUACUAUCUAUUUUACAGAUAAAGAAACUGAGCUGCAGGGAAGGGUUCAAUGUAGGGGACAAUUUUUGGUAACCUGGAGAUUUUCAGUAACUUGCCUAUGAUUACACGGCUAGUACGUGGCAGAGCCAAAAUUCAAACCCAGACAAAGAGCUGUCUACACUUGACUUCCCUGUAAGUUGGGAUUCAAGGUGGAAGGCAAAGGGGGAGAUCAGUCAGGGCCGAUCAAAGAGCUUUGAGGAGUCUCAGUGGUGUCUUGGUGACCCAGGAGCUCAAGGAGUUACACAGAAAGGUUCUUCAGCUGCUAAGUAGGCAGGGAUUACUCACAUAUACUUGCCCCAACUGGUAAGGUCUCCGAGGAGUUGGGGGAGAAGAUAUAGACGAGAUUUGAAACAGUCCGUGGCAUUAGAAUGGACUUGGUGGAUUCGAAAAGUGGGAGCAUCAUUUACCUCUGUAUCUCCAAAUCCAAACAUAGUCUUGCGUACGAAGUCAUUAUUCAAGAAAUAUUUCUGAGUGGAUGAAUCAAAAAACAAAAGAUCUGCUUGCUCUUUCUCAAACAUGGCCCUGAUUACAUCUCUCACCUUUUAAAACCUUCCUAAGGCGGCCCACCAGUUGCAGGAUAAAGUCCAAAAGCCUUAUCCUAGAAUUCAAGGCUGGUGUGAUCUCUCCUCUGUCUAUCAUCCACCACUACAUCCCCCACACUCAGCCCUUCCCUGCUGCUGUGUGUGGCAGAUUCUAUUUUUCUGGUGUUCUUAACCUCCUGAGCUCCCAUUUUCUGGUCAUUGCAAAUGCCCUCACAUUUGGGUGGAGUAAUUGUUCCUUCCAUAUAUCUCAUCUCAGGUAGGGCUGCCGAUCACAGCCAUGGGCACACAACACAAGUGGGACCAAUUAGAAUCCCUUUCAGGAAUUAAUAUAAUCCCAAAGGGGAGCGGAAGACUUCUAUUUCCUCUGUGGCCACUCUCUGGGGUGGCGGAGCGAUGGAAGCCUGGAGUUGUCUGCAAAUAACUCCUUGGUUGGAGGCAAGCAAGUCAUAUACAGAGAAAAGCAGAAGCAAGACAGAGAGAGAGAGGGAGAGAACAGACUAAGCGACCACGCAGCUUGAGUCUCUUGCAUUCCUUGCCCUUCCUAGUUUCAUGAGCCAAUAUAUUCUUUUUUUUUUUUAGCUUAUGAAUUUAACUUGUGUUUCCCUUAUUGACUGAUACUUAGCUGCUCUGCAUUGCUGACACUUCCCUGAAUUCCAUAUUGUCUCCUACUUGCACUUCCUACAGGUCUAAGCAACAUAGUUCAAGCCAUAUAGAGUCCAGAGUGUGUGCGGAUUCUCAGGGUGGCUCUUGUGAUCCAUUCUCCUUGUUUUCUUGGUUCUUCUUUAGGCAUCACCAUGUGGCCACGUCCAGGUUGGCAGAGAGCAUCCCCUGGACCUCCUCCUUCAUGCUCUGUCUCCCCCACCUCCCAUACCUUCUCAGUCCCUUUGCUCCUUUGUGCCUUUCAAAGUCCACCUCCUCGUGGGGCCUGGCCCCUUGAUAUGAGUUGAUAUGGGACAGCUGCUCCUGUCCUCCUUGUUCUGCUUCUGGAUGGGGGAUCUUGGCUGCUUCAGGCUUCAGAACUUGAGGGUCUUCAAUAUGGACUCAGAGAAAGUACCUAAAGACCUCUAACACUGUAAGGAUUAACCACAUGUGGAAUAUCUUCCCUCACUUAUUAAUGUUCCCUGACACCAUUAGUCAUCGUUACAGCCUUAAGGUACAUUCAGGACUUCCAAAGAGGGGUGCAAUGGAGGCCUGGAGACCUUUCCGGCAUCGUGUUCCAACUGUGUGACAAGAUCCAGGUGUUAAACACACCAGAUGUUCAGAGGAGGAAGCAUGACAAAAAAGUAGGCAGGUUCAGGGGAACGGGGGAUAUCCCAGAGGAAGCAGAGUCAGCAUUGGCUGUUGGCAAGAGGGCACAGGUGGACCUAGAGUGGUUAAGGCUUUCCCAAGAUGGGGCAGGGCAUGGACGACAGCCUGGCAGAGGGGCCUGGGUGGCUCACUUAAGUAACCAUGAGGACAUCAGGCUGGUGACCUUGGCAAGUGACAGGAAAGCCGAUGUUCAGUGAAAGGUCUUGAAUGCCAGGCCCAAGGUUUCACUGUCACUCUCAGUCUGAACGGGGCUGUGGCUGACUCAGGGCCCCUUCUGGGAGAGCCGGUUGGUUAUGGCCUCCUCCGCUGCACAAAGAGGACUGAGAAGCCUGGGCGUGAACCUCAACCCCCCGCCUGCAGGGAGCAAAGGGGUCUCUCCCUGAACCAUCCCCUCUACCUGCCCCUUCUGUGACCAGAGCCGUGGUAGGCUCUGACUAAAAUGGACAGCAGCUUCACUUCACGACCUCAGGACCAGAGAAGGGGGAACCCCUUCCCUCAGUUCCGGUCCAUGCCAGGCAGCCCCUCCCCCAGUCACUCUGUGGGUGGGCUGGCUCUCAACAAUCCACCUCUGGGGCUUUCCGCCCUAUAACGGUCUUCAUUCCACGACUCAUUAGAAAGAUUCUCUCUGCUCUUCCAUUUAGGAAGCCCCUAAGUGGAGCUUCUGGCUGCCUGCUUUUUUUCUCCUCAAUUUCCUUCCUACCUCAGGGACUCUCAGGGUGGACUCACUUGCCAAGUUUCUGGGCCCGGCCAGCUGAAUGGGAGGAAGUAUCCCAGCAUGCCCCUUGCCUGGUGAUUCUGUUUCUCCUGGAGGGUCAAGCCAAGAGCCAGAGAGUCACACACGAGGAGCUGGCAGGGAGCAGAUAGGCAGCCUCACGCAGUGGUUCCUUGAAAAGAUUCUGGGCAUUGCAGCAAGACUGACCCUGGGUCUGAAACCAGCCCCACGCUCCCCAGCCGUGUGACCUGGAACAAGUGACUUCCUGAGCCUCAACUUUUUUUGUUGUUCAUUUGUCAAGUGGAGAUAAAAAUACCUACCUUGCAGGUUAUGGGGAAAGGUAAAUAGGACAUAUAGUGAUGUCAGUAACUGGCAGCUGAUAUUAGGCUUAUUUUAUCCCAACCUCCCCGAGAGAAAAAGGCAGACUUGUCCAAAAUCAUGCACUGAGACUGUCAGAGUUCAUCCUGUCUCCCACUCUGGGUUCUUCUGCCCUGCCCAGGCUGCCCCCACCAAGUGGGAGACAACAGGCAGGAGCAGAUGAGCAUGAUGGGAAAAUCUUCCUGCUCUCUGAUCAUCUCCUGCGGGCUAUACAAGUAGCGGUGACAGGGUCAGCAAACCCGCCCCAGGGCCACUUCCACAUCAGCGGUGGAGGACAAAGGAACUAGGGGGAAAAAGUCAGACAGAAGAAAGCGCCUGGAAAAGAUGUUUUUAUGUUCACUUACAUGGAAAAAAAAAAUCAAAGUAUACAGCCUGAAGAUAUACGUGUCUCAGAAAAUUCGUGCUCAUGAACCUGCUUGUCCAAUCGCAGUGAUAAUUCAAGAGUUGCCAAAUGGAAGUCACAAAAUCCGGGGUGGGGGCGGCGGGAAGGGCCGCCAAGGGACAGGUGGGAAUUAUGUGCUACUUCUUUUCUAGUUUCAGAUAAUUUGGAGUUUAAACUUUUCCAGCAAGUCAAAGUUAUAUAAACAGAUGCCAUACUAAAAUAUGAUUGUGUAAAAAUAUAAAACUCCUAGAGCAUGAUGGCAAUAAUAUUUUAGGAAAAAAAAACAUCGAAGUCUGGUAGUAUCAGAAAAUACAAAUAGGAUCAUUUGAGCAGUUCUGUUUCUCUGCAUGAACAGCAGUUGCAAAUGAUAGAUGUGUAUCAAAGAAUAAAGCAGUCUGCACAUAACUUAGCAAGGGGGAACGUUUCUAAACCGAGACUUUGCGUGAAAACAUGAAGGAUGUCUUACACUCAACAACGAUGGUUAAAAGGAGGAAGUUACUUUCUGAAGGAUGCAGUGGGUGGAAUGCCAAGGCCUUUGUUUCCAAAUCGCUCUGAACUGUGUGGGAUGUGUUCACACUGCCCGGGGUUUCCUGCAGAAUCUAGCACCAAUAUAUGGAUCAGAUUUUAUCCUUUAUCUGAGUCCUUUACGUCUUCAGUUUUGAGUGUACUGAGGUAUGUUUCCUUUGGUUGCUGUUGUGACGAAUGUGUAAUAAAAAACUAAUAUUUACAACAUUUAAACAUUUUAGAUUUCAGUGUCAACUUUUCACGUCAGAAAAAUUGGGAAACUCUUUAGGAAUCGUCAGAAGGUCAUUACUUCCUAGCGUCUGUCAUGAAACUGUUUUCGAUACACAGAACGAUGAGCCUAUUAGCGCAGCUGUACGUUUUCUGGUCCAGGAUCUUCCCCGUGCUCAGCGGGGAGGCCAGCCCCGUGACUGCCGUGUCGGCGGUUCGCCACGCUUCACAGUACUUAUCCACAAGACGCACGCCACGGGGGCUGGAGCCGUGCCAAACGGCCUUCUGGGGCCUAAAAGGGAAUUUUGCGACAUUACUUUUGGGAAGGACACUGCUUUGCGGCAUAUCUCAGUGAGCAAAUCGGCAUAAGUCUAGCGAAUCCAGUCAAACUCCCGAACCCUCCACGGUCUGACCCACAGCAACUCUCCAUCCUCUUGGCUCUUUCCAACCAGCUGAACGUGCUAUAUUCAACCACACUCAGCUUGCACGUGUUCUCACAUCAUCCUCCCCGCUUUCCUGAAUCUGAACCUUUGCCCCCGAGGCCCCUUAAUCUGGAGUGGCCUCUCUUUCAUUUUCAGACCAGCGAUUCCUU
ensembl:lncRNA